GGAGGAUCCAAGCGUUAUCCGGAUUUAUUGGGUUUAAAGGGUGCGUAGGUGGCUUUUUAAGUCAGGGGUGAAAGACGGUAGCUUAACUAUCGCAGUGCCUUUGAUACUGAAGAGCUUGAAUGAACUAGAGGUAGGCGGAAUGUGACAAGUAGCGGUGAAAUGCAUAGAUAUGUCACAGAACACCAAUUGCGAAGGCAGCUUACUAUGGUUUAAUUGACACUGAGUCAUGAAAGCGUGGGGAUCAAACAGGAUUAGAUACCCUGGUAGUCCACGCCCUAAACGAUGAUUACUCGACAUACGCGAUACACAGUGUGUCUGAGCGAAAGCAUUAAGUAAUCCACCUGGGAAGUACGACCGCAAGGUUG
rnacentral:rRNA from 1 species